rnacentral:rRNA from 1 species
GACGGAGGAUGCAAGCGUUAUCCGGAAUGAUUGGGCGUAAAGCGUCCGCAGGUGGCAGUUCAAGUCUGCUGUCAAAGACCGGGGCUUAACUUCGGAAAGGCAGUGGAAACUGAACAGCUAGAGUAUGGUAGGGGCAGAGGGAAUUCCUGGUGUAGCGGUGAAAUGCGUAGAGAUCAGGAAGUACAUCGGUGGCGAAGGCGCUCUGCUGGACCAUAACUGACACUCAGGGACGAAAGCUAGGGGAGCGAAUGGG